CUGUCUGUAAAUCUGAUCCCAGGAUUUUUCAGAUUAAAGAGGCAAACAAUUGAAGAACAGAGGUUAAACCCUGAUUUAAACCAUACAGGCAGAGGACCGCCAUAUUUUUAUCCGGACUUUCCCAGACCAGACCCGUGUGGAGACAGCACAUAGCAUGUGCACGGUGAGCUCAAUCCUUCUGGGAAGCACUGGGCUUGCUGUGCAUACAUUGCACACUUUGUACAGCGGAUUUGGUUUUGAGACAUUAUGGAGCAGAUACACAUUAGCUGCAUAUUUCCAGGAAAUGCUGCACAUUGUGCUGUGUUAUUGACCUGCGCAAGCACUAAGGAAAGGAACAAGAUGGAUGCGGCAGCCUGGCUGGAAGUACUGUAGGUGCAACUGCAUCCCUGGAAAUCCCCGCAAAUGCAAGUGCUCCCGAUUCUGGCAAAUACAGGAAUAUGGUCAAAGCAACUCAGAGCUGUGCUGUUUCUUUGCAAAUUCUGUAUACAGAGAAGAAUGAUCAUACAGUUCCUCAGAGGUGCCUUGUGGUAACUGAGGUGUCUCAAUGUGCCCCUCAUGUCAAGAUAAUACAGUGUGGAUUACCUGCUUUGGGGCUUUGAUGGACACAUAUCCACCAGAAAGCUAAAUUGAGCGACAACCUUAAAAGCCAGAAACCUGUGUUUGAUUUACAUCAGUGGAAGUUCUGUACAGAGUAAUUGCUCACAUUUGAACCGUCUUCUCCAGAAGUGGAAAUUUCAAGGGCUCAAUUAAUUUUCAAUGAGCAAUUAAUUUUAUUGUUCAAUUAAUCCAUAUCCUUUGACAACAGCUUAAAAUUUCUUUUCAUAUUUCUACAGAUGCACUGUACCUCUGACUUCCGAACUCCCUCUGGGAGCUUUGGCCUUUAGUGCGAGGCCUUGACUCCUCCGUUUUUGCAGGGAAAAGUCCAGUGGCUUUGCAAGGAAGAGUCCUGCUAUUGCAAGACUUGGCUCUCUGCAAGUCUAAAAGAAGUUCAAAUUGCCAUUAACGUGUUAUUUAAUGAGGACAGCUUUUUAGGAGAUAGCAUUUACCAGUGAAGUGGAAAGUUGUAUGUAUGUUCUCAAAGUAGACUGGAAAAGCAAGUAUUGACAUAUCCUGUUUAAACCACAAUAAUGUGUGUUUCUUUGUAUUGGAAUAGAGUUUUAACCCAGCGUCUUUUACUGCCAGUUACUGGAAUG
rnacentral:lncRNA from 1 species